UUGUAGUUCUGAAAAUGAAAACCUGUUCGUAGCAACUCCAUGUUAGGUUACGUCGUAUAGAACACGUAAAUCCAAUACGAAUUCGAUUUAGGAUUUUUAAAAAAGUGCGCACCUGCGACAUAAUAAGAUUGCAAACACUGGAAUUUGGACAAGUGAAUAAAAUUUAUCACCUGUUGAGAACUGGCUAAUAUUUCCUACGUCCAAAAACGAGACAAGUAGUUAGCACCAAGAGAGGUGUGCAGUUCAAAAGACGUUAACAUACCUGCACCAGCUCCGGGGAAGACAAGGCUACAAUAGGGCGUGUACACAGCCAUACACGAUAAAUUGGUCCAUACUGUUUCACCCAAUCAAUUGUCAUCAUUUUCAAGGAUUCUGCAACACGAGCAAAUACUCAGGACGCCUCAUUGAUGAAAAAAAUAUUCACCCACCUUCGCUAUAGACAUCCAAAUCUAGAAGAUUGCCUAAUAGUGGUAACGGCUUUGGUCCAGGUAUGGCGUUGAUGAGUUUUACGGUUCUAGAUCGACUCCAUUUCCAGUAAUAAAAUACAGCAA